CUGGUAUAAUUAAGAGCAAACACCAUGCCAAAAAUUAUUUAUACUUUGGGCAAAUGUGUUCUACAAAUAUCUCAUAUUAUCACACACACCACGUUUUUUUUUCUUUUUUAUAUUCUUUUUUUUCAUUACAUCGGCGGAACAAUUAACAUAAAGGGGAUGUUAAGCUACUGAUGGGAUCUGAACCAUCCACCUCAACAGUAGGUAGGGAGUUUAUCAAGUGGGCUAGCCCUUAACCCCUACUACAACAACAACUAUUCAGUAUAGUCUCAUAGAGUGGAGUCUGAGGAGGGUAAUAUGCAGACGAGCAUUACCCCUACUCGAAAUGGCAGAGAAGCUGUUUCCAAUCGAGCCUUAACCCCUACUACAUAUGUUUUAUUACACAUUGCAUCGGUUUUAUAUUUGUGCACAUAGCAUAGAAUUUAAGUUAUAUACACUGAUAAUUUUUAUGUCAGCAGAAGUAGCAAUAACAUUGGCUAAUACUCCAACCAAAUCCCAAAUGACAAGCUCCAUGAAUAGCUCCCUCCCAUUUGAUGCAUUGGUUGUCACAGUCUUCAGUAACAACACAUGCCCCUUUCCAUGUUGCGCUGGGCGUUUCACAACCAAUUGCUUCUGCCUUUUGCAUUUCUGCAUUAAUAGAAUAGAAAGUAACAACUUGAGGUUUACAUUAGUUAGCGCUAGGUGUUUCACAACCAAUUGCUUCUGCCUUUUGCAUUUCUACAUCAAUAGAAUAGAAAGGAACAACUCAGAAGAGUAGAGGCGGAUCCAAAAUUUAAGCUUAUGGAUUUUUACAACAAUUUUAAAUUAAUUUACAUGAUAAUUAGACCAAUAAACUAGGUUCCAAGCUAAACAUUCUUAUAUUUUUAAUGAUUUUUUAGUACAAAUACAAAGUUUAUGAAAAAGUUACUGAAUUCACGGAAACUCAUAUCCUUUUCUCUAGAUCCGCCCCUACUCAGAGGUUUACAUUACUUCUUUUCCUAAUUAAAAAAAAUAAGUUCUUUAAUUUUUUUAAUUAUUGAUUGAGAAGUGAAAUAUAGGAUUUAAGUUAUAUACGUUGACGGUUAUUGCAGCAUGUUUUUCUACUAAGUUAUUAAGUGAUUAUUAGGACCCGAGGGUCUAUCAAGAGUAUCCUCUUUACCUUCACUAUAUAGGGACAAGGGCAUCUCAAUAAAUAUGGAGGCCUAAAGCAAAAUUUUAGAGAGAGGCCUUAUUUUUUUAAUAUAAAAGAAAAAAUUUCAACGUAAUUUCAUUUAAAUUCUAUAUUCUAGUUUUUCUUAUGCAAAGU
rnacentral:lncRNA from 1 species